rnacentral:rRNA from 1 species
UACGUAGGGGGCAAGCGUUGUCCGGAAUCAUUGGGCGUAAAGAGCGUGUAGGCGGCCCGAUAAGUCCGCUGUGAAAGUCCAGGGCUCAACCCUGGAAUGCCGGUGGAUACUGUCGGGCUCGAAUCCGGAAGAGGUGAGUGGAAUUCCUGGUGUAGCGGUGAAAUGCGCAGAUAUCAGGAGGAACACCGGUGGCGAAGGCGGCAUCCUGGACCGGCAUUGACGCUGAGGCGCGAAAGCUAGGGGAGCAAACGGG